AGACCUGACAAAGGUCCAAGAAAGAGGAUUACAAAAAUAACUAAAAAGAGAUCGACCUGACGAAGUUAAUCUCCUACAGACAAGUUAUAAAAAAAAACCAUGUUAUAAAAGU